UGGCGGCGUGCUUAACACAUGCAAGUCGAACGGAAAGGCCCUGCUUUGUGGGGUGCUCGAGUGGCGAACGGGUGAGUAACACGUGAGUAACCUGCCCUUGACUUUGGGAUAACUUCAGGAAACUGGGGCUAAUACCGGAUAGGAGCUCCUGCUGCAUGGUGGGGGUUGGAAAGUUUCGGCGGUUGGGGAUGGACUCGCGGCUUAUCAGCUUGUUGGUGGGGUAGUGGCUUACCAAGGCUUUGACGGGUAGCCGGCCUGAGAGGGUGACCGGCCACAUUGGGACUGAGAUACGGCCCAGACUCCUACGGGAGGCAGCAGUGGGGAAUAUUGCACAAUGGCGGAAGCCUGAUGCAGCAACGCCGCGUGCGGGAUGACGGCCUUCGGGUUGUAAACCGCUUUCGCCUGUGACGAAGCGUGAGUGACGGUAAUGGGUAAAGAAGCACCGGCUAACUACGUG
rnacentral:rRNA from 1 species